rnacentral:misc_RNA from 1 species
AUGAUAUAUUAUGUAUUAAUAAUCAAAUUUAAAAUUUAAAUGCUAAUUCAAGAAUGACUUUUUAAAGAAAUGAUUAUAUAAAAUUGUUUUAAGAACCGAGAAUCGAACCGGAACCAUACCAAACCAAACCAGAACCGAGAACCGUAGCGAAUCGGAACCGAAACAAUGAAUAACCAAACCGGAACCAUACCGAAAUUUUGGUUUGGUUCUGGUUUCUAGGCAAAUCCCAAGCCGAAUCGGAACCAAACAUCCCCAGUAGUUUCUACCCAUUUUGGCUUAUUUGUCACCUUUGCUCCAAGAAAAAAGGUAGAUUCAAUGUGAAAAAAGGUAGAUUCAAUGUAUUUUUUCUUUAAUAAAAAAUGAAUUUGAAGGAUCUGAGUGUUUUUAGUUUGAUUAGAUGAGAUUUUUUCCUUUUGAAUUUUGUUUGACCCAUGCUUGAUCAUUUUUGUGCAAAGCAUAUCAAUCUUUGCCAAAACUGAUAACCAAGACUGAACCAAUGUCUUCAAAUUACUUCAGUUUUUAAUAGCUUGAAUAUAGCCUCGGUUUUAAAACUGUAUAAACAGAUGACAUUGGAUAGGUUGAAAAAAUUUCACCAAUCACACCCCAGCACCCCACUGACCUGUUCCCUAACCAUUAAAGUCACUCUAAAUAGGUAACAGUGCAUACCAGAAGAAACUAGAUUCACAAGCCUACUUGCAAUUAUUUCCACCAUAUUGAAUAUUCUUAAGUUUUCUCCAAACAGCCACAACAUAUUCAGUAGUAAUCUUCCACAGUAAAUAACCUAUAAAUGGCCAGGUUAGACCCGCUCAAGUCACAGGGUGGCCAAGUUUGGGCAAAUUAUGUCUAGCUUGGCCCUUGUCUCAGCCUGACCAUUCAGGCCUAACAAAUAGACCAGGACCAAGCCAAUCUUUUAUUAUGUUAUUAGUGCCAUUCGCUAUAGCCAAGACCACCACCUGGCUUAGCAAGAAGCAUUUCAAAUUUGAAGUUGUUGAUGGGGUAUUUAGUCCCCCUGUCAACCUUUUCCACAUAUAUGUAUUAAUAAACUAUAGCAUAUAAUAUAUUGUUAUUAAUAUUAUCAACUAAAUAUGACAUAUAUAACAUCUUCUAAUAUAAGAUAAUAUGUAAUUUGGGGCAGACUCAAACAACAAACAUAAUCCAUCCCAACAUAGUUCAAGUUAGAUGAGGUUCAAGAGAACAAAGAAAUCAAUGACCAAGAAUAGAAAUUUUCUGGAACAGGAUAUGCUGGUUCCCAGAAACAUUAAUAGGUGUAUGCCAGGUAAUUGAGUUGCAAUAGAUUGCCAGUGUAGCAGUGUAACCAAGUUUGUCACAUCCUUACUAACAAGAAAGGCUUUAAUAUGCAGGUAGUGGAAUCCUGAUCUUUAUGUACAUCAGUGCCCUGUUCGUUGAGUGCAAAUUCUAAAAGAGAAAAAACCAUUGAUGGGGUCCCCAUAUACUAUUCCAAAUUAUGGAAAUGCAUUCAAACCCAAAGCAAGCAACAAAAUCAACUCAAAAAAUACCUCAUUGUCAACAGCAGAUAC